rnacentral:rRNA from 1 species
GUUCGAACUGGCAGCACGGACUUCGGUCUGGUGGCGAGUGGCGACGGUGAGUAAUGUAUCGGAACGUGCCUAGUAGCGGGGGAUAACUACGCGAAAGCGUAGCUAUCUACCUGUAUACGCCCUUCAGAGGAAAGCGGGGACACUGGGCCUCGCACUAUUAGAGCGGCCGAUAUCGGAUUAGCUGGUUCAGCGAUUGGGUGGCGCAGCUCACCAAGGCGACGAUCCGUAGCUGGUUUGAGAGGACGACCAACCACAUGGUUGAUACGGCCCAGACUCUACGGGAGGCAGCAGUGGGGAAUUUUGGACAAUGGGGGAAACCUGAUCAGCCAUCCCGCGUGUGCGAUGAAGGCCUUCGGGUUGUAAAGCACUUUUGGCAGGAAAGAAACGGCGGGAUAAUACCCCGUGCAACUGACGUACCUGCAGAAUAAGCACCGGCUAACUACGUGCCAGCAGCCGCGGUAAUACGUAGGGUGCAAGCGUUAAUCGGAAUUACUGGGCGUAAAGCGUGCGCAGGCGGUUCGGAAAGAAAGAUGUGAAAUCCCAGAGCUUAACUUUGGAACUGCAUUUUUAACUACCGAGCUAGAGUGUGUCAAGAGGAGGUGGAAUUCCGCGUGUAGCAGUGAAAUGCGUAGAUAUGCGGAGGAACACCGAUGGCGAAGGCAGCCUCCUGGGAUAACACUGACGCUCAUGCACAGCGUGGGGAGCAAACGAAGUUAGAUACCCUGUUAGUCCACGCCCUAAACGAUGUCAACUAGCUGUUGGGGGCUGGGCAUCCCUGGUAGCGCAGCUAACGCGUGAAGUUGACCGCCUGAGUACGGUCGCAAGAUUUCAAACUCAAGAAUUGGCAGGACACACACAACGAGUCAGAUGAAAUCAUCGGGAUCAAUUCGAUGCAACGCGAAAAACCUUACCUACCCUUGACAUGUCUGGAAUCCCGAAGAGAUUUGCGGAGUGCUCGCAAGAGAACCGGAACACAGGUGCUGCAUGGCUGUCGUCGAAGCUCGUGUCGUGAGAUGUGCCGGGUUAAGUCCCGCAACGAGCACAACCCUUGUCAUUAGUUGCUACGAAGGGCACUCUAAUGAGACUGCCGGUGACAAACCGGAGGAAGGUGGGGAUGACGUCAAAGUCCUCAUGGCCUCAUGGUACAAGACUACACGUCGCCUAAUGGUCGGGACGAGGUCACUAACCGAAGAGGAAUAAUCCAUUGAUCAUCGUAGUCCGGAUCGCAGUCUGCAACUCGACUGUGUGAAGUCGGAAUCGCUAGUAAUCGCGGAUCAGCAUGUCGCGGUGAAUACGUUCCCGGGUCUUGUACACACCGCCCGUCUGUAGAGUGGGUUUUACCAGAAGUAGUUAGCCUAACCGUAAGGAGGGCGAUUACCACGGUAGGAUUCAUGACUGGGGUGAAGUCGUAACAAGGUAG